AUUUCGAAAGUAAAAGAUCUAAAUGGUUUUGUUGUUUUUUGUGUCAAAAAAAUUUUUUAAAAUUAUUUAGUUGUAAAAUGUGAAUCGUUUUUACUAAUAUCUAAUAACUUUAUAAAAAAAUUUAGUUUAAAUUGUUGAGAAUUUCUUUAUUUUAAAGAUAGUUUAUAUACAUGGGUAUGUUUUAGGGGAUGAGCUCUAAAGUAAAAUUAUAAGAAUAAAUUAUGUAAAAUUUUUAGUAGGUUUAGAAUUGGCCAUAAGAUAGUGUUAUAAGAUAAAAAUUAAAGUUUAAAAUUUAUUUUUCUUUUAUUUAUAUGAAGUUAAUUAGUAAAUAUGGAAUAUUUUGAAAAUAUGAUAGUAUUAGUAGAUGAAAAAUAUAGUGAAAUUUUUUUGAAUUUUUCAAUAUAUAAGAAAGAUCAUAAAUAAAAUAAAAGAACUCGGCAAAUAAGAUUUCCGAAUGUUUAACAAAAACAUUUCCUCUUAAAUAAGGGAGGUAAGGCCUGCUCACUGAAAUUUAAAGAGCCGCAGUAUUCUGACUGUGCUAAGGUAGCAUAAUCAUUAGUCUUUUAAUUGGAGACUGGUAUGAAUGGUUAAACGAGAAAUCGACUUUUUUUGUUUUAAUAAUUGAAUUUAAUUUUUUAGUGAAAAAGCUAAAAUUGUUUAGAAAGACGAGAAGACCCUAUAGAGUUUUAUAUUUUUUUGAAUUUUUUUUUAGUUGAUUAGGAAAAGUAAAAUUUGAAAAUAAUAUUUUGUUGGGGCGACGUUAAGAUAAGAAAAACUCUUUUUAAAAAAAAUUUUUAUAAAAAAUUUGUUUGAUCCUUUAGAAAAGAUUAAAAGAAAAAAUUACCUUAGGGAUAACAGCGUAAUCUUUUUGGAGAGUUCUAAUCGAUAAAAAGGUUUGCGACCUCGAUGUUGGACUAAAAUUUAAACA
rnacentral:rRNA from 1 species